UUUUUUUUUCCUUUUUAUUUGCAUCAAAUACCACUAUGGUAGCUCCAAGAAAUCUUUUUCUUGGGAGAGCUCUGUUUGCAAGUUGAAGAAUUACGUAUGGAGUUUCACUCCAGCUCUCUGCAUAAAAAGAGAACAAAAUUCAAAGUCUCUAAGCCAGUUUCCAUUCCUGCCUUUGAACUAAAAAGUAGGCAGGUAGGUUUCAAAAUAGCAAACAUCAAAGUGAUGUCAAGGCUCUGAUUUUACAUGGGAGACUUACAACAGACUUGACUAAAACUAAAUGUUAAUCCAUCUCCAUAGUUAGUAUCAACAAUGCAGGAUUGCAGAAAAUACUCUGUGGGAAAGCAGUGGGAUGAUUUAUAGUUUUUUCUUGUCCAAUAGGAAGACAAGAAAUGCCAGAUCUGCUGCCAAGUGCAGUUCUGCAAAGGAGCUUCCAACCUGAAUCAGCUUCAGAAACUCACCAAAUAAAAAGAUACUGCUGCUUCUUUUAAAAUUUUGUUUUUCAGAUUUGAAGGUAGGAUUUUUUUCCAUGUGUAUCUGCAUACAGAUAAUUCAAGAUUUCAAAACUUUAAAGCCUCCUUUAGCUGGAUGGAUUCAGUCUAAAACAACUUUUACUACUAUAAGUCCCUGCUGGUUUCUUUGGGAUAGAAAAGCAUGCAAGUGAAACACACAACACUCCUGUGCGUGCUUUGUGUAUCUGUUCAAAUUUCUGGAAUUAAAUGGGCUUGCCUCCCUUUGCUAGCUUAUCCUGUUCCAUCUGGAGCAUCUGACAGGAUCUGAGAAAUCUGUGCAAACAUUUUUAAAAGCAUCCAUAUGCCUCAUCAUUUCAUGCAGCAGUUGUUCCAAUAAACUCCUUUAUAUCAAUAUUCAUAUUUUUCUUGGACACCAAUAUUUGUGGUAGAGUUUUUUUAUAUUCAUUUAUAACUUUAGGGCACUUUUUGUUUACUGAAGUGGAAAUGCAGAUGUUAUGUUACUAUUGUUUUUAUUAAAAUAAUAGCAAGGUAUUGUCAACAUUAAAAUAAUUAAAAAUAAUUUAACAUAAUUAAAAUAAUACCAAAGUAUUAUCAACAGAAAGAGCACAAUGCUGUAUGAAGGCAAUUUUUUUAGACACAAUUGUCAUGUACCUCCAAGGAUGAAAUAAGUUAGUUAACUUGCAUAAUUGCAAAAGUUACUAUGAAAUAUAAGAGUAGGCAGAGGUGUUGGGAAAUAAGGUUGAUUAACAAAUGCAUGGAUAAAUCACUGCAGGGAAUGAAGAGUAAUGUGGGUGAGUACAAAAGGGAUUUAGAAAAAGCAAAAGCAAAAAGGCAGGCAUCUCUGUACCUGCUACAGUUACUAUUUAGGAAUGUGAGAACAAGAGUUUCUGGAACAAAGCCCACAAUUUUAGUGUCAUCCUUAAUUUGUGCAGAUUAUUACUUUAUAAACAACAGGCAAUUGGCUCCAAAAUGCCAGCUCCUACAGAACUUAAAAGAUUUGUAAUAAACUGAAACGUCUAGACUGGAAAAAAAAAAAGAGCAGCUUAAACUAAAAAACUGCCAACUAGCCAACAGGCUUGCCACACGCAGCAGUUCAGUAAUGCUUUAUUUAUUUCACUUUAAUUUUAAGGUCAUCUAACCUUUAAAAAAAUCCCAAUCUUGAAUCAUAAAAUUGGUUGGAUUUUAUAGUUGGAGAAGAUUUUAAGUUUACUGAGUCCAAAUGUAAGUCUAACAUUGCCAAGUCCAUCACUAAGCCAUGUCCCUAAGCACCACAUCUACACUUUUAAAAAGGAUGGUGACUCCACCACUUCCUCCUGUAGCCUGUUCCAAUGCUUGGCCACUAUUUCCAUGAAGAAAUUUUUCCUAAUAUCCAGUGUAAACCUCCCCUCAUGCAACUUGAGGCCAUUUCUUUUCAUCCUGUCGCUUGUUCCUGGGAGAAGAAGCCAAUCCCCACCUAGCUACAGCCUUUCAGGGAGGUGUAGAGAGUGACAAGAGCCUUCUUUCCUCCAGGCUAAACAUCCCCAGCUCCCUCAGCUGCUCAUCAUCAGACUUGUGCUCCAGACCCUUUACCAUCUCUGUUGCCCUUCUCUGGACGUGCUCCAGCACCUCAAUGUCCUUGCAGUGAGGGGCCUGGAACUGGACACAGCGCUCAAGGUGAGGUCUUGCCAAUGCCAGGUACAGUGGGAAAAUCACUGCCCUGUUCCUGCUGGCCACACUGUUGCUGACAGGAUGCCAUCAGCCUCCCUGGCCCCCUGGGUGCAUGUUGGCUCAUGUUCAGGUCCUUUUCCAUUGGGCAGCUUUCCAGAUGCUCCCCUCCCAGGCCUGGUAUGCUGGAUGGGGUUGUUGUGACCCAAGUGUGGGACCAUCUUAACCUGUAUGCAUGCAUACAUACAUACAGAUUAAUUUAAAGUGUAUAUUGUAUACAUAUUAUAUGUAAUAUGUAUAUGGUAAUACGUAUAUUGUAUACAUCUAUAUAGUCAUGUUAUAUGUAUAUUGUAUAUAUAUGUUAUAUAUUUAGACAAGUUAUAAUAAUACAUUAACAAAGUUACUUCUACCUAUUUUGCUUAUUUCUAAAUUGGAGAUUACAAAGAAACAGAUGGCAGCCUAUAAUACUUGCAGAUCCCAUCCUUUUAUUUUUUAAUAAGCUCUUUGCACAUUUCCAUUCAUACACAGCUCUAAAAAAAUCUUGUGAGGAAAGGAUAUGAGGGCACCAUUGACACAUACAAGUACAGCCAAGGUCAAAGCUUUUGAUUUUCACUGGAGGUUCAGGCUCUUCCUUCUGUAUUUACUGCAGUUACCACUUCUCACACUGAACUUGAAAAACAGGUAUGAAAAGAGAGAUAAUGAAUAGUUUUGUCAGUUCAGGAAGACCAAACAAGACAAUGUGGAGGAAGAGCACAUUUUCUCUGGUGAUAUUAAGUAAUAACCAGUGCUACGUUAGAAUGCUCUACAAUAAAAGUGGGCACCCAGUAAAGUAAGACUUAAAGAGUUAAAUGUCAGAGUUCUCUUACUGAGGGCUCUGCAGGACGUCACAGCUCAGUAUGCAUUUUGAUGACAACAAUUAAAAAUUUGAAACUUUCUUUGAUAGCUGCAGAAAAAAAUAAUUUAAAGGCUGGUAAGGAACUAAAAGUGAAAAUAUCCAGAGAUUGAAAGGUAAUCUCUACUAGAGAAGUUAAAACUUUUUUCUAUGCUAAAAGAAACAAGGAUAAAUGUUUUGCCCAAAGGAUGAUAAAUGUGGGAGACAUUAGCAAUGUUGAGCAUCAGACUGAACAGAAAGAAAUAAAAACCUGUCUCCAUUUGAAACUGUCAUUUAAAACACUGCAUUCCAGUUCAGUCACUUUGUUACAAAUUGAAGACAGUUGCAUGAAAAUCACCCAGGAAAUAAUGAAUUAUUCAGGAACAGGAAUGAAGACAUCUUCCAGGAAAAAAAAAUCCCAAGUUCAAGGACUACAUGCUACAGAGGCAUGAUUAGACUUUGGAAGUGUCUGAGGAUGUAACUUUUAGGGAUGGAAGGUGAAGGACUUGGUUACAGCACAAGAAGAGAAGCCACCUGAGCAGCAUGACUGACAGUGACCAGCAUGACCCAUUCAUCACAGCAAGGGAGGUGUUGAUAGGAGAACAAGUCCUGUGAUUUGACAGGUGCCAAUGGACAGGACAUCUGAAACUGACUGUGUAAUUUUGUGACAAAGCACCAGAAUGUUAACUGUGAGGAAGCCUUAUGCUGCAAUAAGAGGAAGUGGAUGGCUGAAUAGAUUCCCUGUUCUUUUCUGUCUGCAGUCUUCAGUGUUCGACUGAAUUGUAAAAUUUUCUAGCCACCUUUCCUUCAAGUAUGUUGUGAAUAUAAAACCAGAGUCUAAUAGUUCUUUAAAUAUUCCUUGCAUUUUACUUAAGCAAGGUCAUUGUAAAGGGAAAAUAUCCAUAUGCUCUAAUUAGCUGAAACAGCUCACAGGCAAAAGCCUUCAGUUCCUUGAUGUUAUUCUCUGUACUCUACUGACUUUAGCUGCCUACAGACCUCCUUGGGGGUCAGUUCAAGAAGGCCUGGUCCCACACCCAUGUACUUCUGUUCAGUGCAUUUGAAUGAUCUGUCAGUGCUCAUGCAGGGUAUCCACAAGUACUUUUCUUCUCUCAGCUUAAAUACUGUCUGUUCACAGACUAAGAAGGACUAUCAGAUGAUCCAGUUUACACAUAGGCAAAAACAUAACUGCAUAUUUUUUGUUACAUUUACAAAUCACAGCUGAGCUACACACAUGUAACUCUUCGCAAAAGCCUUGUAUAGCCCUGUAGCUAUCUUUGCAGUGGUAAUAUAUUCCAUGUUUUGACCGCCAAAGGCUUCUUUUUUCUCAAUACUAUCUUGAACUGCUCUAGUGGGAAGCCAGCUGUCCACAGUACCUGUUUCCUUUGGUUAAGGGUUAGGAAGGAUGGUCCUUCCUAAAACUCUGAUCUUCAUCCCAAAAACUACAGCUUCUCAGUGCAAAUCUCCCUCUCUCAUUCUGCAAGCAGAGCACAUUUCUUCUGUUCCUAUAAGAGUUUUAAUACCUUUAUGCCAUUACACCUUCCCUGGAAGCUACCCUCUCUCUCUGAGGUUUGUUGCAAAUGAGUGGUCUGGCCUGGUUGUGGAAUUACUGGCAAAAGUAUCACCAAAAGCAAGAUAAAUAUAUAUCUUAAAAAUGUAUAUGUAUCAUGUAAAUUUGCAAAAGCACAGUGAAGUUUGAUGGCAAGGUUCACUCUACCACUGUUAUUCAGGUAAAGCACAAAGGAAAAUCUGAUUAGAACCAAUCUAGAAUUAUUUAUUUGUGGAGAUGCAAAAGGGUAAAGAUGGAGAAGGGCAAGGGUGCCAAAAGACAAAGGGACCCCUUUUGUUGGCACAAGAGGUUCAAAGGUUCAAAGUAGACCCCCUUGCCAAAUUUACUGUCAGACUUGAUCAAUGGUUUAUAUCCAAGGAAUGUAGCACAACCUAAUCAUUGACUAAUUUGACAUUUACAAAACGAUCCAAUAGGAUUUUUUAUAAGCACAACAAUAAGUUAAUUACAAAUCUAAUCUAACUAUGAAUGUGGGACAGGAACACUUGUAUGUUUGCUGUCCCGCAUGCAAAUCAAUUCACACAUGCACACACACAGAUACAAAGAAGUAUGUACAAAGGUAUACCUGUGAAAAAUGCCCCAGGAGUUCAGUGAAGUACUCACAUCAGAUGUCUUUGCAUCUCUCAACAGCUGAUCCUUCAGGAGAGCGGGGUAUCAGCCUGGGCUCUGUUGUCAAUGAUCCUCUGAGUUGCUGAGCUCCAGAGAUGUCCCACUCAGAGGGAGAUGUGCUGCAGCCCAGGGGAUCCCGAUGGGUCUCACUUAGUGCCACUCUUUACAGGGUUGCAAGUUGAUUGACUCUGGUU
ensembl:lncRNA